rnacentral:rRNA from 1 species
CCUACGGGAGGCAGCAGUAGGGCAUCUUCCACAAUGGGCGAAAGCCUGAUGGAGCAACGCCGCGUGGGUGAAGAAGGUCUUCGGAUCGUAAAACCCUGUUGUUAGAGAAGAAAGUGCGUUAGAGUAACUGUUCACGUUUCGACGGUAUUUAACCAGAAAGCCACGGCUAACUACGUGCCAGCAGCCGCGGUAAUACGUAGGUGGCAAGCGUUAUCCGGAUUUAUUGGGCGUAAAGGGCACGCAGGCGGUCUUUUAAGUCUGCUGUGAAAGCCUUCGGCUUAACCGGAGUAGUGCAUUGGAGACUGGGAGACGUGAGUGCAGAAGAGGAGAGUGGAACUCCAUGUGUAGCGGUGAAAUGCGUAGAUAUAUGGAAGAACACCAGUGGCGAAAGCGGCUCUCUGGUCGGUAACUGACGCUGAGGUUCGAAAGCGUGGGUAGCAAACAGGAUUAGAUACCCCAGUAGUC